CCUUCGGGUGGCAGCAGUGGGGAAUAUUGGGCAAUGGGCGCACGCCUGACCCAGCAACGCCGCGUGAAGGAAGAAGGCUUUCGGGUUGUAAACUUCUUUUCUCAGGGACGAAGAAAGUGACGGUACCUGACGAAUAAGCCACGGCUAACUACGUGCCAGCAGCCGCGGUCAUACGUAGGUGGCAAGCGUUAUCCGGAUUUACUGAGUGUAAAGGGCGUGUAGGCGGGACUGCAAGUCAGAUGUGAAAACCACGGGCUCAACCUGUGGCCUGCAUUUGAAACUGUAGUUCUUGAGUACUGGAGAGGCAGACGGAAUUCCUAGUGUAGCGGUGAAAUGCGUAGAUAUUAGGAGGAACACCAGUGGCGAAGGCGGUCUGCUGGACAGCAACUGACGCUGAGGCGCGAAAGCGUGGGGAGCAAACAGGAUUAGAUACCCGAGUAGUC
rnacentral:rRNA from 1 species